UCUGCCUCUAGCCAUCCACAGCCCUCCUAAGUACUCCCAGCGCCAUGCUUGUGCGGGUACCAGGCCCCCUCCUCCAGGCAGGCAGCCGAGAUUGCUUGUAGGCCAGCAGACGGGAGCCCCGGAGGAGGAGAAUGCCUUGAGGACUAUGUCUUCUGAAGAGGAAAUGAAGCGCAGAAUUUAGGAAACCUGGACUGAACAUGAGCACAUCUCUGUUUACCCCCUAGGAGGCGACGCUGGGCACCCGAGGGCAAAGAGGGGCCCUCGGAGUAAGGGUCAGGAGAAAUGGUGCGCGCCCCUCUCUGCCCAGGGUCCCCGGAUCUGCUGUGUUUGGCAGAGGAAACGCUCGCUCUGAAGGUAAACACGGAAAGCUGAGAUGAAGGGGCAGAAUCAUCUGAUACCACACAUCCAAAAAGAGAAAGCAAGAAAUGACUUGAUUUUUGCCCGAGCCUGUGGCCACCCGGAGGAGCUGCCUUCACACGCCACUUUCCUUUGGGAUAGUCCUCCCCGGGGGCCGUAUCUUCGCGUGGAUCUCGCCCAGAUGCUGUCCAUUAUCCUACCUAAUAAAAGAGCAAUAUGCAGAUUGACCAUCACUUGUCCUUAGGCAGAAAGAACUCAGCGUCACCUGGUGCAGCAGCGCAGGCUGCAGGCUUCCCGGCUCCCAAGCAGCAGCAGAGCAGGGGCUGAAGCGUCACCUGCAGCCGGGCCGCGUGCCCCUGAGCCCACGGAGGGAGAGGCCGCAGCCGGGUGAGGAGACACACUCCGUCUCCUUUUCCAGACGUCAGCAUGGGGGGGUCCACCCAGGGAGAAGCCGCGCAAGGUGGGGGCAGCGUGUCGUUUGGGGCUCUGGGCAGAGGCCCCGAGGCAGGGCCUGGGUAGCUCUGAGUCCAUUGUAAUGUCACAUCCCACCCCCCCCUAUGAAAUUA